ensembl:lncRNA
UGUGUACUGACAUGUGACCUACUGGUUGUGUGUACUGACAUGUUUGUAACUGGUAGAUGCACACAAACUACAUGUUCAUGUUAUUCAAUGUAUGUAAAUUGUAAAGUAUUUUGUCCGUAAUGUCUUUCACGUUAUGGAACCCAGUAAGACUAGCUCUGUGAGGGUAGUCUAUAUACAGUAGGUCUGUGAGGGUAGUCUAUAUACAGUAGCUCUGUGAGGGUAGUCUAUAUACAGUAGGUCUGUGAGGGUAGUCUAUAUACACUAGCUCUGUGAGGGUUGUCUAUAUACACUAGCUCUGUGAGGGUAGUCUAUAUACAGUAGGUCUGUGAGGGUAGUCUAUAUACAGUAGGUCUGUGAGGGUAGUCUAUAUACAGUAGCUCUGUGAGGGUAGUCUAUAUACAGUAGGUCUGUGAUGGUAGUCUAUAUACAGUAGGUCUGUGAGGGUAGUCUAUAUACACUAGCUCUGUGAGGGUUGUCUAUAUACACUAGCUCUGUGAGGGUAGUCUAUAUACAGUAGGUCUGUGAGGGUAGUCUAUAUACAGUAGCUCUGUGAGGGUAGUCUAUAUACAGUAGGUCUGUGAGGGUAGUCUAUAUACAGUAGGUCUGUGAGGGUAGUCUAUAUACAGUAGGUCUGUGAGGGUAGUCUAUACACAUCCAUACACACAGGGCCCUACUGUAGGUACUAUACAGCAUAUUGUUGUCCUAUUGAUCUCCCAUGAACCGUUCCUCUCAUUACUGUAACCACCACCACACACACACCAGCGAUACUUCCACUAGCUCAGCAACCUUCCCCCUCCUCUCACUGCGUCCCAAAUGGCACCCUAUUCUCUAUAGGGCACUACUAGGACUCUGGUCAAAAGUAGUACACUAUAUAGGGAAUCGGGUGCCAUUAGCGACCCACCCUCAGUCUCCACCUGGGCUUAACAACACAAACCCUAAUGGAGCCUAUGGAACCACACAAAACCCCUCCCUUUUCUGUACAGCUUGUCAAUCUCAAUGACAUCACAAUCGGAUUCAAUCAUUUGAUCAAAGAUGUAGUUGGAUCCUGCACCUGAUGGAGUAAUGACUAGCAAGACUGCCAGGAUCUCAGUUUAGCAAAGGAUGAUUGGUCAAAAGACUGCCACCUGAAUUCAACAGCAUAACUAAUUGGUCUGAUUUCUGCCACCCAACCAACCAAAUUAUUAAAUAAAAUCUUC